rnacentral:rRNA from 1 species
UACAGAGGUCUCAAGCGUUUGUUCGGAUUCAUUGGGCGUAAAGGGUGCGUAGGUGGCGCCAUAAGUCAGGUGUGAAAUCUCGGGGCUCAACCCCGAAACUGCACUUGAUACUGUGGUGCUCGAGUACUGGAGAGGAGAUUGGAAAUUUACGGUGUAGCAGUGAAAUGCGUAGAUAUCGUAAGGAAGACCAGUGGCGAAGGCGAAUCUCUGGACAGUUACUGACACUGAGGCACGAAGGCCAGGGGAGCAAACGGG